rnacentral:tRNA from 1 species
CCCCUGGUGGUGGAAUUGGUAGACACGCAGGACUUAAAAUCCUGUGAUCAGCAAUGGUCGUAUCGGUUCAAUUCCGAUCCGGGGGACAA